rnacentral:misc_RNA from 1 species
UUUCCGUAGGUGAACCUGCGGAAGGAUCAUUAUUGGAUUUUGAAACUUCAGGCUGCUGCUGGCUCUCCUCGGAGGGCAUGUGCACGCUUGUUGUCCAUCAUUUCUCCCACUGUGCACAAAUUGUAGACCUUUCAGUAGGCCUAUGUUGUUUUUCACAAUCUCUGAAUGUAAUAGAAUGGUUUUGAAUCUUGGGAAAUACAAUACAACUUUCAGCAACGGAUCUCUUGGCUCUC